UUUUUUUUUUUGGCUAAAUACAUAGAUGCAUGGUUAGAUCUAGUUGGAUGGAUGGAUAUAUAAUAAGGAAAUGUUUUAAGCAUCCGAUCUGUUGAAUAAUCUUUGAUUUCUCUCACUGUUUCAGCUCAAGCUAAGUUCUAUAUAAUUAUGCCUGGGUAUAUAUUGGAUUUGUUGCCUUUUGACUAGCUCUGCAAACCCAAUCAAAGUCCUUGAAUUGUCUAAUCCGCUUGAUUCAAUUAGAUAAUUAAUUCAUCGAUCCAAGUCCAGAUGAAAAAGGGAGAAAGCCCGUUUGAUUUUGCAACAAUGGGUGGAUGAUUGAUAUAUAUUGGAUUUGUAGGGAGCGUAGAUACACUUGCACUUAGAGAGGAUAUUAAUUGCAAUUGAUUUAUAUUGGUGACCUAAGCUAAAUAUUAUAAUAUCAUUGUAAUUGGUUUAUUAGCUAUUUUUUCAUUUAUGAUUCCAAGUCAAACAGAUACAAAAAACAAGGUUAGUGGACCAUUUUUACAGGAAAACAAUUUGUACAGAUAACCUUAGUUAGGGAUUAAAUCAGGAAUACAAUUGAGAAAGAAGGAAAGAAGUUAACUGUAAUAGUGUUCAUGGAUGCCUGCCCCCAAAGCAGCUCAUGUAUACACGUUCAAACACGCAGGCUCUGGUCAUAAGCGGCGCCGAGGUUCUGUUCAACCAUCAUCAUCUAGAGCUGGGAAGAAAUCCAAACAGGAGAUCGACAAAGAUUACCGUGAGAGAAAGAAGGUAAGUAGCCAGCCAAAUAUUACCCCUCUCUAGUACUCCAUUGUGGUGAUUUUCUUUUUUUUUUCUUUCCCUCAUACAUAACUCAUAUUCAUUUCUUUUCCUAAUCUAAUUUGCAGGAAGGGGUGGAAAGACUGAACGCAGAGGUGGAAGAACGUAAGAGAAGCAAUUCCCACCUUGAAGGACGAGUAUUUGAGUUGAGAGAGUUACAGGUGAAAACUGACGAAAACUUGAAGGAAGCUAGAGAAGAAAUUUUCAACCUGAAGAACGUGCAAAAGAGUCAAAGUGAUUCUAUACUUCAACUAGAGAAGGUGGUAUUUUCUCUUCAUACACUAUAAACUGAUCUUUUCACAAAACUUAGGACGAGUAUAUAUAUAUAUGUAAAAAUCAUAACUCUAUAUCUAAAAAUUUUAAACGACAAAUUGGAUUGAUUAAUUUUUAGAUCAAAUUUAUACAUGAUUGAAUUCCAUGUAUAUAUAUAUGUCACUUGUGCCGCACCGUGAAAUGCUGUUACGAUUCCAUUUGGUUUAAAUCUGGGAACCUUUUCAUAGUAAAUUAUAUUUGUAUGCAUUAUUGAGUAUACAUUAUUGAUGAGUAAACUUUAUGACUCUCAUGCUUACAAAUAUAAACUUUAACUAGAAAAUUUGCGUACAUGAUCUUUUUGAAAGCAGAUGUAGAUGAUUAGUACUCACUCCUCAAUAGAAAAAUUACAUUUUGUCUCAUAUGAUAUCCAUUAAUUUCGUCAACACACUUUUUGCAGGAGCUGAUGGCCUCAGGUGAAAAGAUUAAGGCCUUAAAAGAGGAACAUGAACGGCAGAUGAGGGUGUGCACCUCGUAUCACUUAGACAUGAGAAAUAUUUGUUAUUCUGAGAACGCCGGAGAGAUGGUAAUGCAGCACUAAAAGCUCUCAUUUCUUUAUUUAAGUACAUUCUAUCAUAUAAAAUCAUUUGAGGGGAUGCAGUAGAAAGUUCAAAAGAGCUGGGUCUCAUCAACAGGUUUAAAUUUCUGCAUAGAGAUGCUUAUUAGAGUUUUCUUUUUUACUAUGGUGUUGUGUAUGUUUCAAACUUAGUUAUGACAUAAUAUAAAAUUAGGUUUUAAUCCUUAUACGGUAGUUGAAGUUUUUAAAUUAAGAUGAUUUUUAAAUAUUCUUUUACAAAAUCCAUUCAUUCUCUUUUUCUUCUUGUUAAUCUGUCAUACUAUCAAUAUUCUAACUGUUCUAUGAACAAUAUUGCUCACAGAACAACCCCAUGGAGACACGACCUGCCGCUGCUCAGGCCACCACCAACUUCUAAUUCAACUCUGACCACUUCGCAUCCCAAAUGGCGUAACUCAGCAAGACAUGUAGGAGGGGUCAACAUUCUGAACUACUAAACCCUUAUUUUAUAUUUUCGAGUUUGGAUUCCCUAAGGCCUUAGCUUGUGCUUUUUUUUUUUUUUUUUGAGUAAAAACAUAUUUUUAUAGCUUUUAAAGGUAUGGUUAGGUGUGAUUUAUGCUUAAAAUAUAUUGUAUCUUUUAAAAAAAACCACCACACAGAAGCUAAACACCUUUAAGAGGCAUGAAUAAUUGCAGGAUGGACACCUUCUUUGUGAGACAAUGUGGUAUUUUAUCAUAUGGGCUGGGCUCAGCCUAUUGGAUAUUCUCUUUGUUAUGCAACCUAUUUAGUUUGCCUCAGGUAUUUCUUCCUUUGUGCUUUAUAUGUGUGUUUUUUUCCCUUAAGAUUCGUGACUUCGAGUGUUUUCAUGGAAUGAAUCAUACCCCUUUCAUAGCCGAUGCGUAAUUAACUCCAAUAAUCUCCCUCACACAUGUUAGGUCUUGUGUUCAAGCCCUGGCGUACUGUAAGGUCCAGACCUGUUAGCAAACUUGGACUAUUCUCCUCCUCAAAAACUAACUUACAAGGUUCCACUUGUAAUCUCUUCUACAACUCCUUUCACAUAAUAAUACGUUUAGGUAAGAUUUUAAUAUAUAUAUAUAUAUAUAUAUAUAUAUAUAUAUGUCAAGUUUAAAAUAAUUAGGGCUUAAGCCGAAUUGAGUAUAGGCCAACGAGUUAAUUGUCACAAACCGAGUCUUAAAUUUUCAUGCUCCUAUUAAGACUAACCAGUGAAGAUCUCCAGAUAUUUUUAUUUUUUAUUCUACGGUAAAGGGUAUUUAAAGAUUUUUUCUUGCAUAUUUUUCGUAUUGAAUUGGUGUAUUUAAAAAGAUUCAAUACAUUUCUGUAAAUGUUAGUCAAAGCAAAAAUAAAAAGCUUCCUUGACUAUAAAAGCAACCGGAUCACCUUUAAAAUCCCAAGUACCUGUUAUACGUAAAAAUUAAUUAAGAAGAAAUGAAGUCUGCGAAAAGAAAAAUGAGCCGAAGUUACUUAUAUAAUAAGUAACAGGUUGUUUUCCUAAUUUUAUUUUUUAUUAACAUGAAUUUUUAGAUCAGCUUGUGCUAAGAUAUGGAUAAAAAAAUGUUAUUUGUUUAGAUAUCUUUAUGUGUGUAAUUUCUUAUAAGAAUUUCUAUAUUAUUUUGUAAAUAUUUGAUAUUUGGUAAUUGAAUGCUAAUUUAUAAGAUGUAUAUACGAUUGUUUUUUUUAUUUAACAAAAAAUUGUAUUAACAGCGAAUUCAAGCGUGCGUGCGUGUAUAUUAUUUGUGUGUGUGGUGUAAAACUAGUAUCAAAUUUCACUUUGGAUGCCAUAAAAUUAAAACCUUAAUAUAUAUCAGAGAUGGAAAAAAUAUGCAAAUUGUCAAUCCAAUCAAUUUACAAAUCAAUGUUUCUAACCAUUGAGCUAGAUAUAAUUAAAACUUGGCCUCUGGUUAGUGUAAGUGUUAAAGGAAAUUAAAGAAAAUCAAACCAGUUCAGGAAACCAAGAAAAGCAAGGAGAGGAAUCUGCAGAAUAAAGUUGCAGCCACUGUCAAUUAAUGUAGAUUGAUUUGUUUGUUAUUUGUUUCCUCGCUUGUAAACAAGCCAAGCUUAAUUAUAGGAAGCAUAAUAGGAUUCUGAUGCUAUGAUGACAAUAUAAAGGGCUGUAAUAUUUGUUUUAAUACAAAAGCUCUGUUUCAAUUCUGUUUUAGUAAGUGUUCAAAGAAUCUAUAAAAUAAUAUUAGGGUAGUGAGAAUUUCAAUAAUUGAAGCUAAAGGUGUUAGGACAAUUUGCAUUUUUUUUUUAAAUUAACGUGGAUGUCCGGGUCAGUUUACGCAUCUUCCAACUAAUUUAAUGGACCUUGAAGUUAACGAUCAUAUAAACAUCUAAUAACAAUCAUAUUAACAAUCACAUUAUUCAAAUCUAAAAUUACAAGAAAAACAAACUUUUGAUUUUAAAUUUUUAUUACUAGACCAGCUACUAUUUAUAUUUAGUAAAAAAAAAACAUUUAUAAAUGCAAUGCUUGUACUUAGUUAGUUUUUUUUUUAAAAAAAAAAUUAUUUAAAUUUAUUUUUUUAUAUUUAAAAUUGUUUUGACAUAUUAAUAUUAAAAAAUAUAUUAUUUUCAUAUAUAAAAAAAAAACAUUUCAAAAACUAAUUAACGUUACAUUCUCAAGUACCCUCAAAUGCAUUGCGGGGUGGGUGCGCUCCCUUGGGUUUCCAUAAUUAAUAAUAUGAAAGACAAAAUAGCUCUUUCAAUAAGGUCAGCUCAUGAAAGGAAAAUUGAAUGAUAUGCUUGUUUUAUUAUUCGCUCAUCAGCACAACACCGUAUCAUUAUGCACUAAAAACUAUGAUGGUGUGGUUAGUUUUCGAUCGAUAAUUAAAAUGUUUCUCAGAGUAUAAUUGUAAUUAUUUUUUAAAAUAUUUUUUAUAUUAAAAUAUAUUAAAAUGAUAUAUUUUUUUUAUUUUUUAAAAAUUAUUUUUAAGAUUAAUAUAUCAAAACAAUCCAAAAUAUAUAAAUAAUUUUAAUUUUUUAUAAAAAAAUAGAAUUUAUUAAAAAUACAGGAAUGUAUUAAAAUAAUAUAUUUUUUUUAUUUUUUUUAAAUUAAUUUUAAAAUUAGCACAUCAAAACGAUUUAAAACAUAAAAAAAUAAUUAAUUUUUCAUAACAAAAAAAAUAGAAUUUGUUGGAAACACGGGUUGCCCAUGUUUCCAAACGCAGUCAUAGUCAAUAAUGUAUUUAUUAUUAUUAUUAUUAUUAUACUUUUAAAUUUUUAUUUUUUUUAUUUUUUUUUCUGAUUUUAUGAUGGUGGGGUUGGGUAUUGUCUUAGCAAUUACUAGUUUAUAGGCCGGCUAACGCUGCGACAUGGGUCAAUUUUAAAAAUAAAAUAUGGAAAAAAAUUGUUCAAGAUAAUUAUUUAAUAAUAUUAUUAAAUCUUUUCUAAUAAAUCAACUUUGAAAUCUCUUACUAGUCAGUUACCUCUAUGGACACCUUCUUUGUGAGAUAAAUUCGGUAUUUUAUCAUUUGGGCUAGGCUCAGCCCAUUGGAUCUUCUCUUUAUUACGAAACAGUUUAGUUAGCCUCAUGUAAUUCUUCCUUUUCUUCUCGGUGGUGAUAUUUUCUUCUACUAUCUGUCAGGUCACGCAUUGCCAGUACGUAAUUUGCAUCCAUUUUGUCCUCUUCUAUUUGCCUGGAAGCUAAACAUGCUAUUAUUCCAUGUCUGGGAACUAAGAUGCAUGUAAAACGAGCUAGAAGUGGAGACAUAUGAGGGCCAAAGAAAGAUGAAAAGACUGCUUCCACCGUCCAUUCAUGCAUUGCCCCACGGGCCACUGAUUCUUCAAAUGAAAGUUCUCGUAAACCAGUGGCCUGCAAAAAUUGACGUCAUUUGGCAUUUUCCUUACAAGCCUUUAAUUUCUAAUGAUGGCUAGAUUUUUAUUUGAUGUAGGGCUCAUAAUCCACCACAUCCAACUUCAGAUGACUGCUGUGGAUCAUAUAUGGAUGUGAAGCCUUUCUAGUCAUUAAUUGCAGCUAUCUUUCUUUCAGCCUCACAAAUAGAUAAUGGGGUUCUCUGUUUUGCUGCUUUUAAUGUCAAUCUCAGUUUCUCUACUGCCAAUCUGUGCGAGUGAAGGGAUUAUAGUUUCAGGCAGAUAUAUCACUGCAAAUCAAUCCAUAAUUUCUGCUAGUGGAACAUUUGCUCUAGGUUUCUUUAGUGUGGGAAAUUCAACUCCAAGGUACUAUCUCGGCAUUUGGUAUAACAAAAUUCAGAAGAAAUCUGUUGUCUGGGUUGCGAAUAGAGAAUCCCCUACUGAUUCUCUAGGAACUUUCGCACUCGGGGUCGAUGGAAAUCUAGUGGUUCUGGAUGCAACAGGGAAAAUUGUUUGGUCAUCUAAUGUAAAGAUUGCUCAUUCAGCUAUAAAUAGCAUGAUGGGUGUGCUCAUGGAUAGUGGAAACUUUUUAUUGAGAAGUGGGGAAACCAUCCUGUGGCAGAGCUUUGAUCAUCCGUCGGAUACGUUCUUGCCUGGUAUGAAAGUUGGCAAUAAUCGCAAAACUGGUCAAAGAAAGCAGCUUACGUCUUGGAUAGACGUUGAAGAUCCACAACCAGGAUUAUUCUCUUUCGGCUUGGAUACGACGGGACCUCUGCAGUUUUUCAUAUGGAAGGAUCAUGUUCCUUAUAGCCGAACCAAUGUCUACAGCAACUCUAUGUCAUUAACGAAGUUAUCCCGAUGGCUACCUUUUGCUUAUUACAUUACUGUAAAGUUAGAGGGUGAUGAUAUUUAUCUUUCUUACAGUAUCUCAGAUAUCUCAGCUGUAGUAAGGAUCACACUAGUCCCAAAUGGCGACUUGAGGCUCUGAUAUGGGAGGAGAAAAACAGUCAAUGGUUUUCUAUGUGGCAGUGGCCUAAAGUUUACUGUGAUUUCUAUGGUCAUUGCAGUCCAUUUAGUAGCUGUGACAAAAAAGGUUCUCCAGUUUAUUGCAAAUGUUUGACAGGUUUCCAGCCAAAAGUUCAGCAAGAGUGGCAUAUGACGAAUUGGACCAGUGACACUUGUGUGAGGCAAAAGGCACUAACAUGCGACAAGGGUGAUGGGUUUUUGAAGAUUGAAACUAUCAAAUUACCAGAUCAUUCGUAUCUAGUGGAAAAUAUGAGUGCCAAUGAUUGUGAAUCAAGAUGCCUGCAAAAUUGCUCCUGCACAGCUUAUGCACUUGUCAAUGCAAGUCAAGGAAACUCAGUUAACUGCCUGAGCUGGUAUGGGGACUUGAUGGAUAUUGUACAUGACAUUGAAGGGCAAAUUCUUUACUUUCGUGUUCAUGACAGAGAACUUGGUAUGAUCAUAUAAUUUCAACUAGUUUUAACUUUCUCAACAUCUGCAUUGAGCCUAAUGGAUUAGGACUAAUUGUCCCCUUUAGUGAAUUUCAAUAACAACUAAUCUACCUUUACUUUUAUACGCAGUUGAAAAUGAUGGAAGUAGUGAUAACUUUUCCAGUAGACGCAAGCGCUCUAUUAUAAUUCUAGUAGCAGUAAUUUCUUUAGGGGUUCUUACUGUUCUAUCUGGCUAUUUCAGCUGGAGAAAAAGAUUUGGAAAACAAGGUGUCUUUCCAUACCUUUCUUCAUCAAAUAGAUAAUGAUUAUUGUUGGCUGUCCUGGUUUACUCUGUAGCUUAACAUUAGUUGAUACCUGACAGGGAUAAUUGAAGAGAGUUUUACUGGGACCAGCACCACCAUUGGAGGAGAAGCUGUUAAUGGUGACACGGAGCUGAACAUAUUUAGCUUGAACAGAAUACAGGCUGCCACAAAUUACUUCUCUGAAGAUAAUAAACUGGGAGAGGGUGGUUUUGGCACUGUUUAUAAGGUUUUAUUCCACUUUUAGGAAAUGCUGCUUCCAACUUUUCAAAUUUAGUUGAUUUCAGUUACUUUCUCUUUUCAGAUGAUGUGAUUGGUUUUGUUGAGCAUUUGCUCUGUAGGGAGAUUUGGCAAUUCAAGAAGUUGCAAUAAAAAGGCUUUCUAAGAAAUCUGGACAAGGACUAGAAGAGUUCAUGAAUGAGUCGAAACUUAUUUCUAAGCUCCAACACACUAAUCUCGUGAGACUCUUAGGUUGCUGUGCUGAAGGGGAGGAGAGAAUAUUGGUGUACGAAUACAUGCGGAAUCGAAGCCUGGAUAAGUUUUUGUUUGGUAAACUUCGUUCUCUCCUCUGAACUCCUAAAAUAUGUAGCCAUCCUUGUCUGAACAUCGUCAAUAGCUUGAACACUUACCAAAUUGCAUUACAUUAGGUUUGUUCUACCAUAAUCACAUUGUCAGCUAAUGAUUUCUUCUAUCAGAUCCUUCUGAAAAGGCAAACCUUAAUUGGAGCAAACGUUUUCGAAUCAUCGAGGGCAUUGCUCAAGGUCUACUUUACCUUCACAAGUACUCUAGAUUGAAAGUGAUCCACAGGGACUUAAAGGCAAGUAACAUAUUACUGGAUGAUGCAAUGAAUCCUAAGAUUUCAGAUUUUGGAUUGGCAAGGAUGUUUGGAUCUGACCAAACCGAAGCAGAUACCAAACGGGUGGUUGGUACUUAGUAAGUUUAAAUACCCCACAUAUACUUCUAUUGGCAUCAACCUGAUUCUACUGAUAUUCUAAUUUUCUGCCAUUACUAAUUCAUAUACUUCUGCAGUGGCUACAUGUCACCUGAAUAUGCACAAUAUGGAAAAUUCUCAGAAAAAUCAGAUAUCUUCAGCUUUGGAGUUUUGCUAUUAGAGAUUGUGACCGGUAAGAGAAAUGCUGAAUUUUUUCGCGACGAUCUUCCUCUGACCCUUCAAGGAUGGGUAAGUUGAAAAAAUAAAAGAAAAAAGAAACCUUUUCUUCUGUGUUAUCUCCAUAUAAUAGUUGAUUACUAGUAAAACAAGACAUUAAUGUAUUUAAAAUGCUUCUCAGGCAUGGGAAUUGUGGAAUGAAGCUAGAGGACUAGACCUUAUUGAUCCAUCGAUAAAGGACUCAUGUGAAAGUCCUGACAGAAUUUUCAGGUGCAUCCAUGUAGGGCUUUUGUGUGUUCAGGAAUCUCCAGCUGAUAGACCUCCGAUGCCAUUAGUGGUUCAGAUGUUGAGCAAUGACAAUGCAUCACUUCCUUCUCCAAAAGAACCUGCAUUCUCUAGUCUUAGUCGUCGGAGAUCUAGCAAUUUUGUUGCCUUUCACAACACAUCAACUAUAUAUUCUAACAACGAAUUGACAAUUAGCCUGCCUGAGGCUCGAUAAGACUUUCCAGGUUCUUCAGUUCACUUGACAUGUUUGUACUUUGAAAUUCAUCAAUAUUUCAAGUAUCAAAAUUUACUGGCUCAUAUUGCUUCACAUCCAACUUGAGAUCUUAUUGCAGCUGUGACCAGAAAAAUAUUAGAAAUAUCAACUGCAUCAAAGAAAACAAAUAGUGAAUUUAAAAAAUAAACACAUCAUCAGCUUCAAACCACUAUCAGAAAAUUGGAAAACCCUGACAGGGUAAUCUUUUGAUGUCUAGGAAAACAUUCUGUUAGUAUCUGACUUGUCAAUGAAAUUGUUGAAGGUAAUAUGUUAUCGGCAAGUUUCUCGUCAGGGAUUUACAUUCCAUCAGCAUUUCUGUUGGCAACUUCCAACUCCGAUAAAAAAUGCGGAUGAAAUAUCGACACCUUAAAUGCCAAAAGAACUGUCCAUCGUGAAUUCCGUUGAAAAUGCCAAAACCUUCUACAACUUUCCGAAGAAAUUUGUGCGAACAUUGCCAAUGAAAUGGUUGAUGGAAUCCCAUGUCCAUCACAUAUUUCUUUUUUAUCGUUUAGUUGUUAUAAUUUUAAAUUCACCCUAAAAUCACAAUAACAACAACAACAAAAAUGCAUCUCCAUAACAAAAACUUUAUAAUACAAGUUUCUCCAUUCAUGUAAAUAUUCCAUACACAAAUAUUUUUUAAACAAGACAUAAACUCCUAAAAAAAUAGAGGUUGAGGGAGAGGAAAGUAUCCUGAACCAGAAGGUCCACAGAGAGGGAGUCAAAUGUAAAGCCAUAUAUACAUGUAAUUUUUUCCAAUACCUCUUAUUUUCUUAUUCAAGUUGUGCUCUUAUUUUUUCUCUCUCCAAAUUGGGUAAUUGUACUUCCAGUUGUUCCUGAACCAAUUUUUGGACCAACUGAUCAACAUCUGGUGAUUUCUAGCGUAGGUUGAAAUGUGGUGUGGUUUGCCUCUUGUUGAAACAUAAUGGUCUGCUCUUAUUUAUUAGGUUGUUGCUAUAAACAUAAUACAAUAUAUAAUUUUUGAAUCCCAGAUCAUAAGCACUUUUUAAAACCUUCUGCCACAAAAUCUGGAAACAAUGCUCCAUGAUGUACCCCAGUUUAUAAUUUUUUCAUAUUGCUAUGUCAUUAUAGUCGACUCUAUUAAUUGCUUCGUUGCAGGCAUCAUACCACACAUCAUGUAACAUGAUACAUAAAUUUGUUAAACAGAAAUAAGAUAAGGAAAUAAAAGAAUAAAAAAGUUUACAAUAAUAUAAUUUUCUUUUUUAUUGAUACGUACCUGGUAGCACCGUGGUUUUCGUAUGCUUUCUUGACCAACAUCUGGUUACUAUUGUCCCAACAAAAAAAUUUAUAUUAAAUUCAUACGUUAAUUACUUUUCAAAAUUUAAAUAAUUAUUAACUUAAAUUGGAGAUCAUUUAUCUAACAUUAAUUUUUUUCCCAUCAAGCUUAAUUAUACCUUAUUCAUCCAUUUAGAAUGCUCAUGAAGUUGAUUCUGUUGAAACAAUAGUUCUUCGAACAAUAAUUUAAUCAUAGAUGGGAUCGAAUAGGCAACUUCGAACAAUAGCAGUUGACUCUAUUGAUAUUUUCUUACAAAAAAGAUAGGUAUUCUUGGUUAAAUCAGAACUAGCUUAGUGUAUGAAGAGAAAAUCCCACCUUCCCUAGUUCAAGUAUAGAAUCACUUUGACUCUUUUCCACGAUCUUCAGGUUGAUAUUUUCUUCUCUAGUUUCCUUCAGAUCCAUUCUCAGCUGAAAUGUCCUUCAAGGUGGAAUUUGCUUUUCUUUAGUUCUUCCGUCUCUGCCUUCAGUUUUUCCACCUCUUCCUGCAAAUUAGAUAGGAAAAGAAAUGAAUAUGAGUUAUGUACGAGGAAAGAAAAAUAAAGAAAAUCACCACAAAGCAGUACUAGAGAGGGGUAAUAUUUGGCUGGCUACUUACCUUCUUUUUCUCACGUUGAUCUUUGCUUCUCUCCGCUGCGCUUUUCUUCCCAGCUCGGGGCCGCUUUGUUGAUCUCCGGUGUGAUUUUCUUCCGCUUAUGCCCAGAGCCUGCGUGUUUGAACGUGUAUGCAUGAGCUGCUUUGGGGCAGGCAUGCAUGAAUACUAUUACAGUUAACUUUUUUCCUUCUUUUUUCAAUUGUAUUCCUGAUUUAAUCCCUAACUUAGGUUAUCUGUAUAAAUUGUUAAUUUUCCUAUAAAAAUGGUCCACUAACCUUGUUUUUGGUAUCUGUUUGACUUGGAAUUAUAAUUGAAAAAAUAGCUAAUAAACCAAUUACAAUGAUAUUAUAAUUAGCUUAGGUCACCAAUACAAAUCAAAACGGUCAUGCAACAUUGUGGACCAUUCAUCAUUUAUGGUUUUGAUUUUUGAUGAUAAUAAAAUAUAUAAUUAAUAAAAUCUAAAUAUAUGUUUAUGUUUAUGUUUUACAUUGCUGACUUAAAUAUCAAACAAGCAUAAAAGAUCGAGUUUAUGACUUUAUAUGUUUGUAUUGAUACGAAGGAAGAAUGGCAGAGGUAAGUUAUGUUUUGACUUGACCAAUGAUUUUAUAUGAAUAAGUAAAUUUUAUGAUUGUGGAUAUAUUACCUGUUGUUGUUACUGAUAUUAUCUUGUGCAAGAAAUUUAAGAUAUACAAAUUGUUUAUGAGUUUAACAUGUGAGAUUAGCUCAAGUAUAAUGAAGCAACCAAAUUAAGUUAUUUAAAGAAUCAUUAAAGAUCAUUGGAAAAGAUCUCUCUAUAUAUAUAUAUAUAUAAAAAAAAACAAUGAAAGAGCAAGUGAAGUGUUAUCAUUUUUCAAAGAGUCAUGAUAUCAAAUUCUUAUCCUCUUAAUUAUUUGUGAUAAGUAAUCAUUGAAAAGAGGUCUAUAAUAUUUAAUUAUGUGUUUUCAUAUACUAAUCUUGAUCAUAUUUUUGUGAAAUAAAUAAUUGAAAAAAUUACUAAUGUUAUAAUGUUUGUUUUGAAAUAAGUAAUCAUUGAAAAGAGGUUUAUUUUGUUAAGAUUUUUUUGAUGAUAUUAAUAAUGUUAUAAUCAAGAUUACAAUGAUGAUAUUAAUUUUUUUAUGGCCUCUGAGCCAAAAUCUUGGCCAACAAGCUGUAAAAUUAAUUCGAUGCGGAUGCGGCCAGGUUACUGGAACAAGAAGAGAGGUGUUUGAAGGAGACUUUUUAACUCCUAUUGUAGACACGUUUACGUUUUCAAUUAAAAAUAUUGUAUUUAUACAUGCGAUUUGUUUUAAGAUUGGUACGUAGAAAGUGUGGAUGCCAGCUGUUUUAAUUUGGUAGUAAAAUGGCCUUGAGUUAUUUAAUAUAUAUUGUUUUUAAUUUUUAAGUUUUUAAUACUUAUGAUUUGUCAAUUAACUAUAUCUCUAUUUUACUUCGUAAGCAUGUUAUAAUUAAUGGAUUGAGAACACUUGAAUUCACUCAUAAAUAAUUUAUCAUGUGCAAGACAUAAUUCAUUUUAUAUUUAGCGCACACACUUUUCUAAAUGUUUUCCUAUUCGAGUGGUAAAAUUCAAUUUUGUCCUUACAAAUUCAUCAACAUUAUACUUUUAUCCUUAAAUUCUUAAUUUUCAAAUAUUACCCUUCCACUUUUCAAAAAGUUUUCAUGAAACUUCUAACCAUGAAAUGACAAACUUGUUUUUAUUUGGAUGUUUAGGAUCUUUAAGUGUUUUUUUUGUGAGAUAUAGUGAAGCAUAUAUGAGGAAUCGGGGGGGAUCAGAGAAAAGUAAGAAAUAUAAAGGAAGUCAAGAGCAAGCUUUUUGUUAUUUAUUAAGGGGAAGAAUAGAAAGUUAGAAGAAGUAUAGGGAUAAUUAAUAUUAGGAAAUUAUUAAACUAUAUAGGGGUAGGACUUAGGAGUGCAGCUACUUCAUGAAGCACUAUUUUAUUGAAUCCUUCGAUAUAUAUCGAACGAUUUGCUUUAGAAAUCGAUUGAUCCGUUGGCCGGCUGUUUCAUGGCCUUGCCCAAAUGGGAUUAUUUAUCAGCUGUAGCCUCUCCCUCCCUCUCCAGAAAAAAAGAAAAAAAAAACACUGAAAUUGCAUAUCUUCAGGAGGUUCGAAGAUGGCGGGGAAUUUAGGGAAGAAGAUUUCCAGUUCGGUUCAGGGUGUUCAAGAUCCAAGUACCAUCGGUAAGUCAAAUAAUUGUUGUUAUAUUUAGUAGUUUUCAUUUUAUAAACCAUUUAAUCUUUCAUAAUUUUCACACUAUAUUAUAAGAAAAAACACUGAAAUUGUAUAUCUUCAGGACGUUCGAAGCUGGCAGGGAAUUUGGAGAAGGAGGAUCCCAGUUCGGUUCAGGAUGUUCAAGAUCCAAGUGUCACCGGUAAGUCAAAUAAUUGUGGUCAUAUUUAGUAGUUUUGAUUUUAUAAACCAUUUAAUAUUUCAUAAUUUCGAUACUAUAUUAUAAGACUAUUCAAUCUUUUGGAUUUUUACUUCACCUAUUUAAAAUCUCUUGGAGUUGAAUGAUAUAUGUUCUCGUGUUUUUUGUUUGGCUAAAUACAUAGAUGCAUGGUUAGAUCUAGUUAGAUGGAUGAAUAUAUGAUAAGGAAAUGUUUUAAGCAUCCGAUCUGUUGAAUCUCUCACUGUUUCAGCUCAAGCUAAGUUCUAUAUAAUUAUGCCUGGGUUUCAUGCGAAACCCAUUUGUUGCCUUUUGACUAGCUCUGCAAACCCAAACAAAGUCCUUGAAUUGGCUAAUCCGCUUGAUUCAAUUAGAUAAUUAAUUCAUCGAUCCAAGUCCGGAUGAAAAAGGGAGGAAGCCCGUUUGAUUUUGCAACAAUGGGUGGAUGAUUGAU
rnacentral:lncRNA from 1 species